CUGACCCGGGGAAGAUUGCCAGCCCAGGUUGAUUGAUUUAUUCAAAGACUGCCCCAGCCGCCCCUAGGCAGCUAUGUAGCGCACUACUAUGUACUGUACAUGAGUUUCUGCUUUUUUCCUUGGAAAUUCAGUUAUUCUUGCUUAUAACUUUCAGUUGGGGCUGGUUAUUUCUGCAAGAAUCACUUCUUUUCCACUUGAGCUUCCUCUAUCCACAGUCUUUCCAUCAGUUCUGUACCCCUGCCUUGUUAGGUCUUCCCUGACCCUCCUCAACUUCUGUCUACUGGUGUUACACUCGCAUGGGAGUUAUAUUGGAGUACUGUGGGCGGGGCUGCCUGGGAUUGAUCCAGGAGACCUGUCCUGAUCAUCAUCUUUGCUGCUUGUACCGCCAUUGACAAGCUACAGAGGAUGCGUUUGAUGUCCACACAUGGAGGCUUGCCUGCCCACAUUCAACGUCAUUCUUCUGCCCAGUUCCAGCAUUCCAGGAGGAUGUGUCGCACGAUCCGCAGUCCGUAGCCGCAUUGGCAUUCAUCGGUGUCAGCCUUACUGAUGCCAUGAAGAUACGCACGGAGGCCGACCUUGCCUGUACUGCUUAUGAUCAUGUCUCCAGGGAGGGAAUGUUUCCAGGAGAGCGAUGCAAACGGUACGAAGAAAGGACUGCAAUAACAAUUGGCUCGCGCCCAAAGAACAGACCC
rnacentral:sRNA from 2 species